rnacentral:rRNA from 1 species
AGAGUUUGAUCCUGGCUCAGGACGAACGCUGGCGGCGUGCCUAAUGCAUGCAAGUCGCACGCGCUUGCUUUCAGGCAAGUGAGUGGCGCACGGCUGAGGAACACGUGGGUAACCAACCCUGGCGUGGGGGACAACCAACCGAAAGGUGGGCUAAUCCCGCAUACGCUCCUACGGGAGGAAAGUGGCAACACGCGCCGGGACGGGCCUGCGGCCCAUCAGGUAGUUGGUGAGGUAAUGGCUCACCAAGCCAAUGACGGGUCCCUGGUCUGAGAGGACGACCAGGCAGACUGGGACUGAGACACGGCCCAGACUCCUACGGGAGGCAGCAGCAAGGAAUUUUCCGCAAUGGGCGCAAGCCUGACGGAGCAACGCCGCGUGCCGGAAGACGGCCUUCGGGUUGUAAACGGCUUUUGUCGGGGAAGAGAUGGACGGUACCCGACGAAUAAGCCCCGGCUAACUCCGUGCCAGCAGCCGCGGUAAGACGGAGGGGGCAAGCGUUGUCCGGACUCACUGGGCGUAAAGGGUGCGUAGGCGGUACAGAGCGUCGACACUGAAACCUCCUGGCUCAACCAGGAGAGGCGUGGCGAUACGACUGAACUCGAGGCAAGGAGAGGUGCGCGGAAUUCCGGGUGUAGUGGUGAAAUGCGUAGAUAUCCGGAGGAACGUCGGUGGCGUAAGCGGCGCACUGGUCUUGACCUG